CUGGCCUGGUUUUGUUCUUUGUUGUCUGGCAAGGAAGUCUUGAACUACAGAGAAAUGAUGUGCAGUUAUCUAUGACUUUAAAAAGGACUUUAAAUCUUAAAUGAACUCUAUAAUGUACAUUUGAGAAUGUAAGUUUUCCACUGAUUGAUUUUAAUAAGCAGGAGCUGCUUUGUGUGUGUUGUAUUUUUUGUAUUUUUCUCCAGUUUUGAUGGCAUGAUGGCAAGAUGUGUAACAGUUCUUCUGACUUUAUGCUACAUUAUGGACACAGUGGAACAUGGUCUUUGUCUAAAUAUGGUCAAGGAACUGGCUGUCACACGGGUGUCACCCAUUCAUGCAAGAGCAAAGAGAGAGACUGAUUUUCUUUAUACACUUGAAGCUGUGGUG